rnacentral:rRNA from 1 species
UACGUAGGGCGCAAGCGUUAUCCGGAAUUAUUGGGCGUAAAGAGCUCGUAGGCGGUUUGUCGCGUCUGCCGUGAAAGUCCGGGGCUCAACUCCGGAUCUGCGGUGGGUACGGGCAGACUAGAGUGAUGUAGGGGAGACUGGAAUUCCUGGUGUAGCGGUGAAAUGCGCAGAUAUCAGGAGGUACACCGAUGGCGAAGGCAGGUCUCUGGGCAUUAACUGACGCUGAGGAGCGAAAGCAUGGGGAGCGAACAGG